ensembl:lncRNA coiled-coil domain containing 14
GUGGUGUCGUCGGGGAGGCUAACUGGAGCAGUUGAAGCUAAUCGGUGAGUACAUCAUCUUUAAUAUGGCAACUCGGUCAAUGUAUCUUACAGCUGUUGUAUAUUAGUGUAACUUUAGGUGCAGCAGCAGCCAGCACUGAACCGGCCUAUUCUCUGUACUCCACAGACUCCGAGGAUCAGGUAAUGAAGUCACCACGCUCCAUAAAGGUCUGGACAGAUGUGCUGUGCUGCUCAGUGGCAUCCUCCAGGCAGAAAAAGCAGGUUCGCCAAGUUUUCCCAGGAUGGUGAAAAGCGUGAAAAGUUCUGCCUCUCUAGGAAGGAACAUUAUUAAGGAACCGCCUACAAAGACGGCUCCAAACCACCAAAAGAGCUCCCCGUCAGCCACCGCGACUCCUGGAGUGAAGCUGCAUCCGCCUCAGAAACAACCCCAUGCUCUACCAGUGCAGGGUCCUUCGCGUGGCCUCUCCCGCACCGUGCCUCCACCCCAAACCUCCGUCCUUCUGUCUAUGCACCAGACAUCCUCUCUGCCACUGCAUCACCCCAAUAGCCCGAGGUCACAAACUAAGGCAGAGCGUGACGGAGAGCAAGAGGCUGUUCAUGUGAGAGAUGUCAAAAUCCAAAGUCCAGAGGCCGACCGCAAGGGUGCACGUGGCGGGGAGGAAAGCGGCGUGGACGCCAGAGUAAAGAUGGUUCAGUCUCUGCUGUCAGAGCUCAGGACUCUUAUCACUGGACAAGGCAGCGUCACGGAGAAGCUGCUCAGUCACCUGGAACAAACUGUGUCCUCACCACAGACCAACAUCCAGACUGAGUAUGCACAAGAGCUAUCAUCGCUGCAGAGCGAGAACGCUCAGCUCCGCCGGCGUGUGAAGAUUCUGAACCAGCAAUUAAAAGAGAGAGAAAAGGUGGAGAAACAUCAAAACCUGGAAAUACUCUGCACCUCAGAUGCACUUAGUCUGCAGGAGGAGCUGUUCACGGCUCGAUCCAGACUGCGGGAGCUCCAGGACGAUCUCGCCGGACUACAGAAAUCCCUUCAAUACACGCAGAGCCAGCUGAGAGGCAGAGAAUGCACUCUUGAAGAACGGUAUGCAAUUGUGCAGUGGUGGUGGAUAGUGUGUGUUUGUCAUGUGACGCAACGUUUUGUGCACCUAGGAUUGGAGGCCACUCGAAGCAGGUUGAUGAACAGCGAGCAAGAGAAGAGCGAGCCAGCUUCACUCAGCCAGCAAAGACCAGAGGAGAUCAGAAACCUGAGCAGGCUUUUCCAGAGCUCAUCGGUCCAUUGUCCCAGCCACCGCCAGCGCGGACAGGAUCCUCCAUCAAAUCCUGGCAUCACAACUCAGCCAGAGGUAGAGUUUAACUCCACGCUGUCCCAGUGCGAUGUGGAGUCAAUGUGCUCCGAUUGGAGCAUGAGGUCAGAGUCCAGCUUCAACACCAGAGACGAGGCUGCUUUCAGGGACAGCCUGGCAGCUCUGGACGCCAGCAUAGCCAGUCUGCAGAAGACUAUUCGACUGGAAGUGAGGAGGUGAAGCAGUGGCCUGUAUUAGCAAC